rnacentral:rRNA from 1 species
GUUUGAUCCUGGCUCAGAACGAACGCUGGCGGCAGGCUUAACACAUGCAAGUCGAGCGAGACCUUCGGGUCUAGCGGCGGACGGGUUAGUAACGCGUGGGAACGUGCCCUUUACUACGGAAUAGUCCCGGGAAACUGGGUUUAAUACCGUAUACGCCCUUCGGGGGAAAGAUUUAUCGGUAAAGGAUCGGCCCGCGUUAGAUUAGAUAGUUGGUGGGGUAAUGGCCUACMAAGUCUACGAUCUAUAGCUGGUUUGAGAGGAUGAUCAGCAACACUGGGACUGAGACACGGCCCAGACUCCUACGGGAGGCAGCAGUGGGGAAUCUUAGACAAUGGGCGCAAGCCUGAUCUAGCCAUGCCGCGUGAGUGACGAAGGCCUUAGGGUCGUAAAGCUCUUUCGCCAGG